UAUAUAUUAACUGAGGUAGGGCACAGCAGGAAUUUCCUGCUCAAAAUAUGGAGCAGCCCGACUGGGGUAGUACCUCGACCUUACAGAAGAUCACAGCAAAAUAAUACUGUUUUCAAGCAGUAUUGUGUUCCUGUUGGUGAGUAAGGUGACCAGAGCUCCUGGGGGGAUUGGGGAUUGGGUCUGCAACGCGCUUGCGAUGCUUCUGGUGUUGCA
rnacentral:misc_RNA from 1 species